rnacentral:rRNA from 1 species
CCUACGGGCGGCAGCAGUAGGGAAUCUUCCACAAUGGGCGAAAGCCUGAUGGAGCAACGCCGCGUGGGUGAAGAAGGUCUUCGGAUCGUAAAACCCUGUUGUUAGAGAAGAAAGUGCGUGAGAGUAACUGUUCACGUUUCGACGGUAUCUAACCAGAAAGCCACGGCUAACUACGUGCCAGCAGCCGCGGUAAUACGUAGGUGGCAAGCGUUAUCCGGAUUUGUUGGGCGUAAAGGGAACGCAGGCGGUCUUUUAAGUCUGAUGUGAAAGCUUUCGGCUUAACCGGAGUAGUGCAUUGGAAACUGGGAGACUUGAGUGCAGAAGAGGAGAGUGGAACUCCAUGUGUAGCGGUGAAAUGCGUAGAUAUAUGGAAGAACACCAGUGGCGAAAGCGGCUCUCUGGUCUGUAACUGACGCUGAGGUUCGAAAGCGUGGGUAGCAAACAGGAUUAGAUACCCUGGUAGUC